rnacentral:lncRNA from 1 species
AGCAUCAAUUGGGAGUGCUCACCUGGAGGAGGUAGAUAACCAUUGAAGAGGACAUUUCCGCAGGAAGAUCGAUCCAACUCUUCCCUCACCUGCAGGCGACGAACUGCAAGGGUUGAGAUGCGUCCGCUCAAAAGACUACAGGAAGGGGAAACCGAGGAGGAGACAUGGGCCGAGUUGCAGAGGUGAGUAUUGUAGAAAUGGGUCUCCCCACACCCUCUUCUUUCAUUCCCUCCUACCCUCGCCCCAGACUCUCCUAAUCACCUGGAAAAGAAGGAGUCUGGGAUCCAGGUAAGCGUCUGGCGAGAGGUACUGAACCUGGGCGAUGGGGUAAGGAGAGGAAAGAGAAGAAGAGGUGAGGACGCUGCCUCCUCCACUGAGAUUCAUGCAUUCUCCUUUGGCAUUUCUUUCUUUCUUUCUUUCUUUUUUAUUCAAGCGCCAAGCCUCCAGCUUGAGGCGGAGCAAUUCUUGAUGGACAGGGACUACCACCCCCACCCCCAGAAGAGGCGGGCAUCCCGCCUCGGUCCCGUAGGAUGGGGCCUCGAGGAUCUCCCACACUCACCGCUUGCCCCCUACGUUCAGAUGAAUCACUUCCCCGGGUGCUCCCCGACUCGGGACCCCCUCCACUGCAGUCGUCGCGACGGCCAUAGCCCCACCCCCCCGCAAGCCGGCCGGCUCGCACCCACUUCCGGGUGUGCAUAGACCCCGCCUCUUCCUCUUGCUCAUUGGCCUAGAGACUCCAGGAUCCACCGGCGAUUGGACAGAGAGCUCGCUCAACGCAAUUACGGUCUCUGACUCUUUAAAGAGGGCCGGUCUUUCCUGGUUUCGACGGGGCGCACUUGGGGAUCCUUUGGAGUGAUUUAGUAACUCCCCCCCCCCUUUUCUAGGUUCCCUUAUUUUGGUAUAAUACAUAACGAAUGUAGGC